rnacentral:rRNA from 1 species
GGGGAAUAUUGCACAAUGGGGGAAACCCUGAUGCAGCGACGCCGCGUGAAGGAAGAAGUAUUUCGGUAUGUACACUUCUAUCAGCAGGGAAGAAAGAAAUGACGGUACCUGACUAAGAAGCUCCGGCUAACUACGUGCCAGCAGCCGCGGUAAUACGUAGGGGGCAAGCGUUAUCCGGAUUUACUGGGUGUAAAGGGAGCGUAGACGGUAGUGCAAGUCUGAAGUGAAAGGCGGGGGCCCAACCCCCGGACUGCUUUGGAAACUGUGCUGCUAGAGUGCAGGAGAGGUAAGUGGAAUUCCUAGUGUAGCGGUGAAAUGCGUAGAUAUUAGGAGGAACACCAGUGGCGAAGGCGGCUUACUGGACUGUAACUGACGUUGAGGCUCGAAAGCGUGGGGAGCAAACAGG